rnacentral:sRNA from 1 species
UGCCAAGAAAUGGACUGGGAUCAAAUCAAACCAAACCAAACAUGAAAUUCAUGGUCUCAUCAGCCAGUCUAUGCAGCACUCUCUGCCUCUGAAUCAGAAUCAAUGAACUGAGUCCCACAUGUAAAUAAAAGUCUGCAUACACUGUGACAAGUCAGAGCACUUUGCAAAUCAAUGUCUGAAUGCAAUUACUCUGAGUAAACUCUCCACACACAUGAAUGCUGUGUCAUCUGUGAACAGACAAG